AUAUUUGAAUCCUCAUUAGACGCCUACUAUGAUUCAACUUUUCUCUAUAACGACGGUCUUUACAAUUCUCAUCUCUACCCGCAUAGAAAUAUACAAUAUGUCUCACAUUCCAAACAGUAAAUGUGUCCUAUCUGUUAGUGUUAGCUUAUCUCAAACAGUUGUCAUAAUGCUGAACAAUAUGAAGACUAACAUGUUUUAUUAUUAAAAACAGUAUCAAUCAUCCAUAGCAAACUGUGACAAUAUGUUAUAGUGUUAACACAUUGUUGAAUCAUAUAAGGAUAGACACUUGUGAGAAAUGGUGGCAAUAUGCAAUCACAUUAUGACAAAUGGUUUGUUUUAUAUUUGCGAAACACACUUACACACUUGCAUUUAACCAUAUUUUACGAGUGCCCAACAAUUUGUCAAACUGUUACAUGUAUGAGUAUAUGUAACCGACUUCACUUCGCUUCGCGCUGUCUGCCAAAACAAAUCGUCACAUCGGGUUUACGUUUUUUCAAGUCAAAGUUCCUCGCUCUCGACGAAGUUGUUCUUCCCAACAAUAUCCGGUCUCUGCUUCCACCCAACACACACGAAGUGGACAGGGCGGUGGGCCGGCUGCUAGAGUAUCCGCCACAAUAGGUGCCGCUGUUACCUCCUCCAGCAACAAGAAUUGAAAACGGUCCGGAAUCAUGCUACUUCUGCGUUUACAAAUUCUACCCCGGGCACGGAUCAGUUUUCGUCCGGAACGACAUAAAGGUUCCAGAUGACCACCGGACGCUCUACACGAAAAAGGACCCAGGAAAGAUGGACAAUAGAGCAAAGUGAAAACUGUUAUCCUAGACAAUCGAUGCCAUCAAGAACGAGGAGAUCAUGUGUUUAAAUAUGUAUCCGCAAGCUAAGGAUGAAUAUGAAGAAACUCAUUGUUCAACAGAAAUACGAUUACGAAAGAUGAAUUUGGAGAACUGUGAAGAUCAUAAUUAACUGUAGGGUAACUGGGACUAAAACAAGCUUAUUUCCCAUUUAUUAUU